UUCACGUCAAGAGUUUUUUAAAAUAAUAUUUUCUUUUUUUAUCUCGAUAGUAUUUAAUAAUUGAAACAAAUAUAUUAAAAAAUGCGUAUAAUUGAUUCACACUGAAUGAAUCAUUAAAAAAUGUUUUAUCACAAAAAAAAGAAUAAAUAAAUGUUGAAAAAUAUACCUGAUCCAGAAAAAGGAAAAUUAUGCUGCCAUAUCAACAAAAGUAAAAAUAAAAAUGGCGUUGCCAAUUUCUGGGAUCAACCUCUCGAGGAGGAAUUUCUGCUUCUAAAAAUCAAAUAAAGAAAAAUUAACGAAAGAAAUGAAAGUUUGAGAAGACAGAAUCCAAAAGCAUCACAAAAAAAGGAAUAAUAUCGCAAGAGAUGGAGAUUGAAAGCUGGAGGCGAUGACCACACACAGCGCGACGUAAAUCCAUAUCGAACUCAAACGGUGUGCGGCGAGUAAAGACAUUUGUUUCCGCAGUCACGAGAAACGGAUACCGCAUGAGCAUCAGACUUACUGUCAAGAAGGUAACGUAAGCUCAUCUCGGGGAAACGAAGCGAAAAAGGAAAGAGGAUAUACACAUAAAGCGUUUGGUUUCCGUGAUUCGGGUGAACGCAACGAGACCCGUGGUGGUCGAAAUGGGACGGAUCUAAAAGCGGCAAGGGAAAUUGAGCGAAAUGCCGUACACUUGCUUCACUUCCCACGGGUAAUCUGCUGAACAUAAAAAAAACAAAACAUUGAUUAUUUUUUUUGCAAUACGAAACAUUUCACAAAAAUUUUUUAUUAUUAUUUUAUAUAUAU